AACUUCUAACGGUGGAUCUCUUGGCUCGUGCAUCGAUGAAGAACGCAGCCGGCUGCGAUAAGUAGUGUGAAUUGCAGAACUCAGCGAAUCAUCGAAUCUUUGAACGCAA
rnacentral:rRNA from 1 species